rnacentral:lncRNA from 1 species
UGUUAGGCCAGAGCUUGCAUGGUUUUAAAGUUCCUUGUGUGCCUUGCAGCUCCAGGAGCUCGUGUUCAAGAAGAGAAACUGAGCCAGCACCUGAUUAAGGCAGAUUUGGUCAAGUGAGACAAUAGACCCUGUGUUUUAAAGGCUAUGCCACAUUUUGCAGUUCCUCCUGCUUCCUUUCCAACUGCACAUGCACCAUGUAUGCACAAUAGCCUGGUUUUGAGCAACUUUUUCAACUGCAAUCGUAUUAGAAGAUCCUUGACACGCUGGUGAUGCACACGGGGAUUGAUUUCAAGUGGAUGUGUGUUUGGAUUGUCCUGUUUCUAUUUCUGAAGCCCUCUCAAGGAAGCUCGCUCAUUCUUCUCACCCCAUCGCUUCCGAUGGGGCCAAGUCAUUGCAUUCAGAGCGCGCACAAUGACACCUCCGAGAGACUUGGACUGUUCUCUUGUCUCACUUCCACUCUCUCCCAGGCUGGAUGCACACCCUGGAGAUGAGGAUCAGGACAGGGGCUGGAAGCCUAACCACUCCUCUUCGCCAGCUCUUCAUGACUCUUUUCUUUUGUCCACAAGUAAAGGGAGAUGAGCUUCCCCAGGGACUUUCUACUGCUGCUGAAAGAGCUCAAGGUUUAAGACUCUCAUCUGCUCCACAAAAACAGAAAGGACAGGAAUCUGGUUGCCACAGAUGAGGUAAGAACUACAAGCUGAAGUGGCUUUGAUUUUUUUUUUAUUUUUUUACUUAGUGCAAGGGACAGCAGUGUAGGAGUACAUGACAGUGAUCGUUGACCAGAGGUUUGUGCAGUGGUGAGCUGAGAAAGCAUACAGAUGUGAAUCAUACGUGCAUGGAUAUGUACUUAUAUGUAUCUUCUUUUUAGCUGCUUGUGGCUCAGUUUCAGAGAGGCUCAGCUCUGGUUCCCAUUACAGAUUUACUCAGGUGCAAAAUUUGUUGGAAUGGCAGAAGAUUGAUAAUAACUAAAAAUAGCAGUUGACCUCUAUUGUGUGUUUCCACCUAUGUUUACUUUUCAGAAAUUGAUAAUGGUUAUUUGUGGGUUAUCUUCAAAUAAACAAAAAAGUGGACAUCUGUCUGUCUAUAUG